GGAUGUGAGGGUGAUCUGGCUGUGACAUGUGUCACCCCAUUGAUUGCCAAGGUUGAUUCGGCUGACCUGGCUGCCUAGGCGGGUGUCCCCCUUCCUCCCUUACUGCUCUAUGUGCUUCCCUCCCGAGCUGUGCACCUGGUGGAAGAGGACGACCUUCCCCGAUAGAGGAGGACCAUUCUUCAUUCAAGGGUAUACGAGUAGCUGCGCUACCCUGCUAGAACCUCCAAACAAGCUCUCAAGGAAAGUGCCUGAGAAGAUGCUUUGUCCUGAGAGUAUACAUUGGGAAAACACAAUAAAACACAGAAAUACCAAACUAGAAUGAU
rnacentral:snRNA from 1 species